ACAAAAUAGAGAACUCUGAAGAGGUUCUGAAGAGAUGCCGCUAAAUAAUAAUGAAGAUGCUAUUGAGUCUACCAUUAUCCAACGUUGCUCUGAAGACUCUUCUUUUCGACGUUGCUCUGGCUCUCCUCUUCCACGUUGCUUUGUUUUCAUCUUCUGUUGUGCUCUACUCUCUCACUCACUCAAGAUAUGAAUCGAAGAAAGCUUUUGUUGAUAUUACUGAUGGAGAUGUGGCAUUUAGAGACAAUGUGUGGUUGCACAAUUUUUGUGCUUAUGAUAUUCAAAAUGAGGAGAAAUCAAUAGCUUAUAUCAACGGCUCAGCUUGGAAUUGUGGAUGUUUAUUUAUAUAUGUUAUUUAGUGGGUUUUGGUUGAUUAUUAUUAUUGUUAGUUUGUGCGCUUGUGGAAAGUAAUAUGUGAACGUGAAUUUGUAAUUUCAAGCCAUGUGGAUAACGCAUAUAUAUAAAAUAUCUAACUUUUGCAUCUAUAA